GAUGAAGAACGUAGCGAAAUGCGAUAAGUAAUGUGAAUUGCAGAAUUCAGUGAAUCAUCGAAUCUUUGAACGCACAUUGCGCCCGCCAGUAUUCUGGCGGGCAUGCCUGUCCGAGCGUCAUUUCAACCCUCGCGCCCAUCUGGGCUGCGGUGUUGGGGACCGGCCUGCCCCCCCGGGGCGCGCCGCCCCCCAAAUUCAGUGGCGGUCUCGCUGCAGCCUCCCUUGCGUAGUAGCACACCUCGCACCGGAGCGCAGCGCGGCCACGCCGUAAAACCCCCGACCCCCAUGAGUUUGACCUCGGAUCAGGUAGGAAUACCCGCUGAACUUAAGCAUAUCAAUGCGGAGGA
rnacentral:misc_RNA from 1 species